ensembl:lncRNA
AGAUAAUGAAAGGGGUGUGGUUUCCCCCUUUUACUCGUCAUUAUAUCCUUACUUAGUCAGUGGUGCAUAGGUGUGGGUUACACAUAUUAACCUAUUCUCAGCUUCUCCGUCGGUGAAAUGGACUGAAUGACAGUCCCUCCCUCGUAGGGCUGUUUUUAGCACCAGGGAUGCCCCAUGUGUAGGUUUCUGGGCAGGAGUGCAGUGAAGGGCUACAGAGGAACUGCUAAGAGUUAAAAAUCAUUUAUCAAGGUACCAGUUGCUAAACAAAAUAUGGUCCCCACUAGACAACUUUCAGAAAUGUGUUAUGUACACGUGCCAAUUCCCCACAAUGAGUGUGGUCCUUAUAUACUAAACAUGCACUAGUCAAAAUCAAAAUAAAAAAAAGAUAAGUGCAAAGCAACAGUCUACACCAAAUAAUUGAAUAGCACUGUUUCAACGCGGAUUUCCUUCCUGCUGAAGACCAUGGUUCACUCUGGGGAGCUGGGGUGGCAGGAGAGGGGGAAGUAGCUUUUCCUGAAUUACCUGUUUGGGCACCCUACAUUUUUUGAGUCACCCGGGGAUCCUGUCAGUUCUUUUUGCAGUCAUUUAGGAAACCCACAUGAUAGACACCAUUUUUCUUCCUCUUUAUUCAUGAGGCUUAUUACUCUCCUAUCCCCCCACAUCCAGACAAUUUCUGUUUACCAGGUGCUUGCAGGAAGUGCCCUUUUAAGUUCCUCAAGAGGAACCAGAGACUGGAAUGCCCAGCUGAAGUUUAGAAUUCUUGGAUAUCCUAAAAUUCUGCGCAGGAGUAUGGACGCUUUGGGUGGAGUGCCUAAUAGCUCCCAACGGGCAGCCCACCUCUUUUUCCUAAACCCCCUUCCUCCUAUUCCACCAUCGGGGUGGGCUCUGGGAGCAUCGUUAGCUCUGACCGUGGGCUUGGGUUUGGCACUGUGGGAGAUGCUUCGGGCUUCCCCGCAGUUUCCUCCUCCCACCGCCAGAGGGCAUCUUCGGAGUUUGUCCUCAUCCGCAGGCUUUCGUGUCAGCCUAGUGCGGGUCCUGUUCUGGGUUUUUCCCAGGAGCCUGCCUCUCCCGGGGAGUUGUUUUCUCCCAUUACUAGUAAUUGCAGUCGUAAUAUGGAAUACCAGGAGCAAAGGGUUUCUGAGUUUUAUGCUGAUGCCCAAGGUUAUACAAUAUUUCAGUCUCAAAAUGACUCUAGGCUCAGAGAGCCACGAUGAGGAGAGAGACAAGGGUGGUCCAGCCGAGGUCCUGGUGUAAGCAAAGGCCUGGAGGAGAUAAGAGGCAGCUAAUGUGGAACUAUAAGGUGAUCAGGACUGUUGUAUCUACUGUAUCUUUGAAAGGCAGUCUACUUCUAGGCUGAAAAGUAGUCCGCCCAAAGACACCUGUACCCUAAUCCCUGGAACCCGGGAGUGCUAAUGGCUAUGGCAAGGCAAGAACAACAAUGACACAACCCCAAAGAGAUGCUUUAGAGAUGUGAUUGUGUAAAAGGUUUUGAGAUGAGGGAAUUAUCCCGGAUUAACUAGGUAUGUCCACAUCUACAAUCACAUGUGUCCCUACAAGAGGGAGGCAGAGGGAUAUUUGACCAGUUAGAGGAGGAGAAGCUGUGGGGGGAGAGAGACAGAGACUGUAUCAGUGCGGCUGCAGCUGAAGGAACCUUGGGAGCCACCAGUGGCUGGAAGAGGUCAGGAAAGAAUUCUUCCCAGAACCUCCAGGGGGAGUGUGGUCCCGCUGACAUGUCCAUCCUAGACUGUGGUACUCUAGAAGUGUGAAAG